GCUGGGGGGAUGGAGAUGGCUCCAGGAACAGCCGCCGACGUCUUUAGCUGCUCUCAGCUGUGCUGCCUGCCUCUGUGGAUGAAAUAUAAGUAAGGCGGUUGCUAGGGUUCAGGGGCGCUAAGAGUAAGAGAAACUCCACACCUUGGCCGGACCUAGAACAAUAAAAGAGAGACAGCCUGCGCGCGCAUUUUCGUUCUGUGUUUGUCAGAUUGAUCCUGAGGUUGCUAGACACACUGCACAGGUGAUAAUGGUGGAAAAUAAAUCUAUAACUGUUUCUCUAACUGAUUCAAGGUGAAUCCACCCCGUUUUAUGUGGUGUUGUGGUGAGUCAAUCGUUCUCACCCUCAACACUGUAGUCUAGUCAAGUUAUGUAUGCAUAAGAUGUGCGCAGUAGGUAGACAAAGUAUUUAGAGGUUGGUAUUUGGGUAUAUAGGAGUUUGGUAUUUUUGUAUGUAGUAGUUUGGUAUUUGGGUAUGUAGUAGUUUGGUAUUUGGGUAUGUAAUGCUUUGGUAUUUGGGUAUGUAGUAGUUUGGUAUUUGGGUAUGUAAUGCUUUGGUAUUUGGUAGUUUGGUAUUUGGGUAUGUAGUAGUUUGGUAUUUGGGUAUGUAAUGCUUUGGUAUUUGGGUAUGUAGUAGUUUGGUAUUUGGGUAUGUAGUAGUUUGGUAUAUGGGUAUAUAGAAGAAUGACUUUGGGUAUGUAUUAGGUUGGUAUUUGUGUAUGUUAUAUUUUGAUAUUUGGGUAUGUAGUAGUUUGGUAUUUGGGUGCUCAGAAGUUUGAUGAUGUUCACAGUGAGAUUUCUUUAUAGCAAAAUAAAUGACCUUCACCUUCACAAGUUUUCCCCAAUACACCUUACGUCCAAACACACUGUUGUCAAAUAAAGUUUCUAAGCG
ensembl:lncRNA